ensembl:misc_RNA Metazoa_SRP Metazoan signal recognition particle RNA
GCCAGGCGUGGUGGUGCAUGCCUGUAGUUCUAGCUACUUGGGAGGCUGAGGUGGGAGGAUCACUUGAGCCUGGGAGGUUGAGGCUGCAGUGAGCCAUGAUCACAUCACUGCACUCCAGCCUCAGCCUGGACAACAGAGUGAGACCCUGUCUCAA